AUCAUAUCUUAAUUCAUGACUCAGAGAGUCUAUUCCCUAAAUCAAGUAACUUGGAGAGAGAAACUCCCAGCCUCUUACCUCCAUCACCGAUCACUACCGCAGGCCUUACCAUUGUCAAUCACCGUUCAUCGUCCUUCACUCAUUCACACUCAUUAAUCAAAUUGAUCGUUCUUCAUGUUUCCAUCCUCCCCCCGCAGAUCCGCAUCGCUAUACUUAUUCAUUCAUGAUCUCCAUUGCUAGGUUUGGUUCCUAUUGCCAAUGUCGUUCACCAAGGAAGAAACGAAAAUCUGGUGGAACCAACAGCACCUUCAUCUUCAAAAGCAUCAUUAAUAGUGGUAGGAAAGUCCGACACGGAGGUUGAGGAGGUUCUUGAUCAGAUGCUCACUCAUUUGACACUCUGCGGCGAUUCCAAGCUUGAUCCCUUAUUCUCCAAGUUUCUCUCUCUACAUCUCUUCACACUCCCCGUUGUUUGCAACAAGGAUUUCAAAUUUACAGUUGCGAGCGAUUUAGGGCACAUUGGAAAUAGAAUAUAAGAGGGAAGAUAGUUUCAGCAUUGAAUUCAUGGAUCUUUAAUCAGAAGAGAUAAUAGUAACGAAUUGCACAGUUUUGAGUUCUACUAAUGUUGCUUCUAUGAUCAAUGAAGAAAGAGAUAUCAUCCUUUUUGUGGCUUGUUCUGCUAUAUUGUUGGCACUGCAGCUAACAAGAAUGCAUUGAAAAGCUUGAAUGUUACUCGCAUUAUGACUAUUUACUGGUUCUGGUUCGGGAAAAAAGGACAAACAACAUCAUCUUUUAAGAUGGAUCAACAAAAGGAUUGAAAAUCAAACCAAAUGGAGAGUGUUUCCUUCUUUGGCUUGUUUGCUGCAGCUGAUUCAGUUGACUAUGUGUUAAUAUGCUUAGGAAGUAAUGGUACUUGUGUCCAUGGUACUGCUCUGCCUCUUUUCAUUGUUUUGUUUAGAAGCAUGAUUGAUUCUUUGGAACAUUUUAACAUGGAUCCUCACAAAUUGUCAUCACGGGUUUCUGAGGUAAAAUACAUGUUCUUAUGGUAAUCAUGGCUUAUGUUACAAACAGAAGUUUGAUUAGUGAAGAAUUAAUAAGAAUAUGACUAAGUGGGAUUUAGAAUAUAAAGAUUUAAGUGAACUAGAGUUCACUAACUCUUACAAAUGAUACCAUUCAACUAUAUAUAUAUAGUUCUAACUAGUAUUUUAACAUUGCACUUAGGAUUCAUUUUAUUGUGUGUUUAAUUAUAUUCAAACUUAGAGUGAGUAACGGAUGCAACUAUUUUAUACUAGACAUAGUUAUAAGGAAAUAAAUUAACUUUGGAUAUUAACUUUAUUAUUUCAUAAAAUCAAAGUGUUAACUGUUAAGUGACGAGGAAAAUGACAAAUAAGUACGGCUUUUCUUUUUUCUCUGAUAUAAUAUAAGUAUUGCUCCUCUGUCUUUGUAUCUUUUAUUUAUUUUAAUUCCAACAUUAUAAUCUAAGUCGAAGAAAAGGUAAAAAAAUAAAUGAAGGUAUAAUAUUAAGUGUUUGGAAGUUGUUUUUGGAAAAAAAAGUCAAUCUAGAAAGAUAUACAUGCACAUAGGUUUAUGGUAAUUUCACAAGACUCCAAGCUUUUCUGCCAUCUUAAGAAAUAAAGUGAAAAAGAAUGUCAUCUUGCAUUACUAGGGCCACGAACAUUAGCAGCUUUAAUUUACUGAACACAAACCUGUGGAACCAUACAACUAAAUGCAUGAUUAAAUCCUUGUUAUAACUGAUAUUGUGUAUUCUCUGCCUUCAGGUAUGAUCUUUUUGAUAUAUGCAUCAAUGGCCUAAAGGAUAAGUUAGAUUCAAUUAUUCUUAGUCAGAAAAAACAGAGGAUCCUGCUUCUUCAGGGUGUUUCUGCGUUUGUCUUAUUGAAUCCGUUCACGCUCAUUUGGAACCUGCAAGAAUGGUUGAAACUAGCACGGCAUCUCCGAUGGCGGAGGCUGAUAUAACAGCAAUGAAGGAAACACUCCGAGCCCAAAAAACUCUUCUACAGCAGGUACAUGCAGAGUUGGAUCAGAAAAGAGAAGCCUCUACUACUGCAGCCAGCAAGGCUAUGGACAUGAUACUUCGUCUACAAAGUGAAAAGGCUGCCGUGAAGAUGGAGGCAAGUCACUACAAGAGAAUGGCAGAGGAGAAGAUAGGUCAUGCUGAGGAAACUCUUGAAGUCUUUGAAGAGCUUAUGUAUCAGAAGGAGAUGGAAACCACUGCUCUUGAGUUCCAAGUCUUGGCUUACAAACAGAAGCUUCUGGCAUUGGGAGUAGAUAUCAAUAUCAGUGAGCUUGAAUUCCCUGAUGAUCUUCUUCUUAAUAGAAGUGAACAAAAUGGAGAAGAUGAUCAAAGUAGCUCUAAGAGAAGGUUGCAAUCAUUACCCCCUAUUUGCUCUAUGAGGUGCAACUUUAGAUCAUCGCUAACACUCGUAUUGCUAUAUUAAUGCAACAUAGUUAUAGGCUUGUAGCAUUUUUUGUUGUUUAGAUUUGUAACAUGAUUUAUUAUUUUUCAAGAGAAAUUUGUGUAUCAAUAUUUUGAGUUUAAUGAAAUAUCUCAUUUUGUAGUAA